UACGUAGGGAGCAAGCGUUGUUCGGAUUUACUGGGCGUAAAGGGCGCGUAGGCGGCAAAUUAAGUCAGCUGUGAAAUCUCCGAGCUUAACUCGGAACUGUCAGCUGAUACUGAUCUGCUAGAGUGCGGAAGGGGCAAUCGGAAUUCUUGGUGUAGCGGUGAAAUGUGUAGAGAUCGGGAGGAACACCGGUGGCGAAGGCGGUCUUCUGGACGGUGACUGACGCUGAGGCGCGAAAGCCAGGGGAGCGAACGGG
rnacentral:rRNA from 1 species